rnacentral:lncRNA from 1 species
AAGUAUUACAAUGCCAUGUCAGGAUUGCAACCAGACGUGGAGGCAGAGAAAUCAGCACUUGAAAAAUACAUGGAUAAUCUUCAAACACUGCACAAUAACAUUGUGCCUCCACCCAGGCCUUCUGGAAAAACAGCCAGUGCUCUCAACCACGGAACCAUCUCUCCAGCCCUACGACUGAACUUUUAUUAAAAGCUCAGAAACCAGCUCCUCCCUCACAACCUCCCUCCUCAGAGCGUCUUAAACCCAGGCCUCUCCGAGAAUCCUUGAGAGGACAGGAAGCAGGUCUAAUGAGUAACUCCUCCAGCCCAGAGGAAAAACACUCUAUGUCUGUCUGUCGAGUAUAUUAUAUUCAAUUUCGAU